UUGAAAGGGAAACGAUUGAAGUCAGUCGUACCAGCGGGAAAUCAACCUUUCGAGUGGGUUUUGGGGUUUUGAAGAGUGUUAAAACCUUUGAGAUUUCGAAAUGUUUGCUCUUUUGGUGUACUUUCUCGUAGGUAGGUUAACAUCGAUUUUGAUCAUCAUAAAAGGAUUGGAGGAAUGUAGCUUCGAUCUCGUAUUGAAGUGUUAUAGCCUUUGGUAAAUGUGAUGAUUAGGAUCGAGGAUUGCAACGAAUACCCUUUUGGGCUAUCCGCCUGAUCUCUGAUACGUGGCCUUGGUAUUGAAAGCGUGCUUAUGAUAUUAAGGUAUUACGGUCAAAAGGUUAGAACGGAUUACAUUCGUUAAGGAUGUUGACGUA
rnacentral:rRNA from 1 species